AGUGAACGCUGGCGGUAGGCCUAACACAUGCAAGUCGAACGGACGCACAGUAAGCUCUUGCUCUUACUGUUGGCGACUGACGGGUGGGUGAGGAAUACAUCAGCUUCUACUUUUUCUUGGGGGAUUUCGUAGAGCCACUUCUGCUACUACCUCAUAUGUCCUACGGGUGAAAUCAGGAGUUCUUCGCACUUUUCCUGAUACAUUUAGCUGAUGUCGGAUUAGCUAGUUGGCUUGGUAAAGGCCCACCAAGGCAACGAUCCGUAGCUGAUCUGAGAGGAUGAUCGGCCACACUGGAACUGAGACACGGUCCAGACUCCUACGGGAGGCAGCAGUAGGGAAUAUUGGACAAUGGGCGCAAGCCUGAUCCAGCCAUACCGCGUGAGUGAAGAAGGCCUUCGGAUUGUAAAGCCCUUUUGUUGGGAAAGAAAAGAAGCAGGUGAAUACGCGGAUGUUCCGACGGUACCCAAAGAAAAAGCACCGGCUAACUUCGUG
rnacentral:rRNA from 1 species